CAAAGUGCUAACCGGAAUGCCGGGAGCUGCGACCGGUAAAACGCCGGCACAGGCAGUCCUAGGACAGAGAAAGCGACGGCCCCGCGCGACCCUGAAACUUUGCGCUCGGCGCAAUUACUGGCACCGCAAUCCGAAAACUAUCCGGUGGGCGCUGCUAGUGAGAGUCGUGCUGAGAAACGGGCGGCUGGUCGCAAGGAGCGGCGCUGCCACCGAGGAACACCUGGCUUGGCCCAAGGAGACGAGCUGCCAGCCAGACCCGCGGUUUUGUCGAAUCCAGCGGGACUGGGACCGCAACAUCCUGCAGAACGAAAAGAGGAGCGCUGCCAGCGAAAUACACCCAGCUCUGCGCAACCGGUGCUACCGCGACCCACAAGGCGCCAGCCAGGCUCUGCCGGAAACCGCGGCCUACAAACCUCGGCCGGUGCACCUAGUGGCGCCAAGGCUGACAAACGCCCACGCGGAGCGCCUACUGGUGCUGGGACCAGCAAGGGCCAGCACGCAGCACAGAGCAGUGCAGCGUCCCGGAAACAUCCGGCUCUGCGAAGGGAGCGGUGCCGCCCCCAAGGCACCGACCGGGGCUGGGCGCUGCCGGCGAAAGUACUAACGAGAAACCGCCGCCUCGGUUCACCCUUCGGAGCCGCGCGCGCGAUCCGCUGCUCGGAGGAAAGAGCGGUGCUGGGGCGCAGCAAAUGGCUGUCGUGAAUCAAAGACAAGCAUCCGUCUUCGCGGGAUCAGCUGUGCUGCCAGCGAGUAACCACCAGCUCCGACAAUGAGCGGCAGCGCCAGUGGGAAACCGUCGGUAUCUGAAAUGAGCGGUGCCGCCGCAAAUAAACUGGCAGCUUGGUGCUACUCGUCAAAGCGCUGCAGAGGAGACUCCGAUAAAGGCUCAGCCCUAAACUGAUCUCUCCUUCCUGCUUCUACUUCCUGACCAAAACCUGGUGCUCCUUCUGUGGCCCUGCGUGAUGCCUCCACGACAUGGCUGAUGAGUGGAGUAUGUCUGCACCCAAGACCUGAACCUGUGAACCCGGACACCAAAGUGGAGCGUGCAGAAGUUCAACCACUCAGCCAUGGGCCAGCCCCCAUGCUCAUGAUUUUUAGAUGAGAAAAAGAUAAAUGUAAAAGAAAAGAACAAAUUCCCCUUGACAUUUCAUCUUAAAAUUUUAGCAUUCCUUUCUUAUAAGCCCUUUCACCAAGGAUUAAAUAAGUUAUUUAAAUCAAAA
rnacentral:lncRNA from 1 species